GGUUUUUUAAUUAUUAUUUAGUAUUUUAAUGCAGUGGAUAAGUGAAUCAGAGGAUAGUGAUCUUGUGGAUGGAAGGGUGUCCUACCGUAAUCUAUGUUAUAUAUCUAUGUUAUAUAUAUUUACAGCAAUCUAUAUAUAUUGCUGUACACCACCUAGAAUACCGUAAACAUAGUUUACGGUAGAUAACAUAAAUAACAUAGAAUACCACCCUUGCUAUUCUGGGUGGUGUACAGCAAUAUAUUCGCUGUAGCGCGAAUCUGUUUGUAAAGCUGGUGCUUUCCUGGAUAAUGAUUUGUGAGCUGAGUUAUUUUCACUAUUCGAAAUUACCAUCUGGCAAAUCUGUUUGCUGUUACUUCAUAUACUCAGGAGUAAGUGAAGGAAAUGUGAUUGAAACAAACCAUCAGGACAGCGCCAUACAGAUGGCCAUUUAACUAGUUGUGAAUGACAAGCGAGCUCAGGCAUGACACGAUUUGUAAACAGGUGGCCAAGCUAUAUGGUACAAUGGCUCAGUUUACUAUGGGAGAAUUUCCAGCACUAGAGUACAGCAGGAAAAAUGUUUGAAAAAUGAACUGAUGCAAACUUGAAAAAAGAAAGCAUGUCAGUUUUCCACCCAUGAGCUGUUUCUGGACUAGAGUUUGUAAAACCAGUGCUAGAUUGUACAAAGUUGUUGAAGAGGUGGGGGAAAGAUAGUUAGGCAAACAAUGAUUCAUGUGAUUUCUUCCACCUUUGAUGACUUCAACUGUAAGCAGUUGUUAAGUUAUUGAGUCUCGAGACAGAAAAAAAUAUGUCCAUUUAUUGCAAAAGAUACUAUGCCAGUAAAAGAAUCUAGAAAUAUACAAAACAUUAUAUUUGAUUAGUACAUUUCAUCAGGAAAGUAAUUGUAUUGAAGCUUGCUUGAUUACCAAGGGCUGUGACUAUGCGGAAGAGGAAUAGGUAUUGAUUGUACUGUGGGAGUACAGAAACCUUUUAUUAAGAUAUUAUUCUUACCAGACUGAAUAUAUCAUUCUUACAAUGUUCUUUCAAAAAAACUUUCCUUUCCUCUGUAGAGCAGAGUAAUUCAAGUACAGAAGUAUCAGAAUAUGUAAUAUGUGCUAUACAAUAUUUUACAAACAUUUUCACUUAAAUAUCUCAUUACUUUUCUUCUUUUUAUUUUCUUUUUGGCAGCACAUUAUGUAUUUGUUGUAUACCGCUAGUGCUAUUGAAAGCUAUCAGUGUGGCUGUAGGUAUAGAAUCCUACAGUUGAUCUUUUGGAAUGCAUUCCAAAAAUGUAGUAGACUGUUCAUAAUAAAUACUGUCUCCUUUGCUAGCACGGUUUUUAAAACCUAUACAUGUAUAAGGAACAUAAAUCUGAAUAUUGAAAGGUUAAGGUAGUGUAAACCGCUUUUAAGUUUCUUCAUGUGUUAUAUUGUAUCAAAUAAUUAAAUAACAAUGGAACAGUUUUUCUAUCAUAAUCAAAGGCAGUGUAGGUCUCUCUCUCUGUGUGUCUCUCUGCCAUAGACUAUGCGACCCAGACAACUGAAGCAUGACAUGCUUUCUAAGGGGAAUUCAGGAGUUUACACACCAGGGAUAUUUUGUUUUAGAAAUUGAUUUAUUUGUUCCAUAUAUUUUACUUCUGAUUUUUUCUGUGGCCUGCGGUACCACCCUCAGUCACCAAUGGCAUGUUUUCCUAACUUUCCCUAAAGUAUGAAGUAGCUUUAGGCAGACAUGUGAUAUUGAUUUCUCCUGAGAGCCUCUGUGAGCUCCAUCUUGUUUUUCUCCCAACUGUGAGAGAGUUCUGCUACCUGGUAGGGGGUAGAGAAGUAAGCAGAGACAGGCUGAACAAGCCUCAGAGAGGAGGUGAUCAAUGAAGAAAUGGAGAAAUCAAAAGUAGGAAGAGAAGAGAAAGAGAAGAUAUCAUGGCAUUUUGGAGACUAAGUGGUUUCCUACACUUGAGAAGGUAGAAAUGUCUGCAAGUUUAAUUUAUAAGUAAAGGAGCACCAUACUUUCCCUUGAGCAGAUUUUUAAAACAACUGAAUAACACCUACGUAUUCUCAACCGUGUACAAUAGAAAGGCCUUACUGGAUCAGACCAAAUUAAUCUUUUCAAUGUUUUUUCCCCCCAUCUUGACAAUCAUGAUGCCUUGAACAGCAUGAUCGAAAGUCACAUGCAAUGUGCUAUAUUUAGUUGUUUGUUAAUGGAUGGCAGAAAACACUCGGCUUUCACAGCAUGUACCAAGAUCGGAUUCUGUCACCCACCCCCAUUCUCUGGCUUACAUCAACUACCUGCUGGAGGUUGUUAUCAUGGAUUUCAGUCCACAUGUACUAUUUCAUGUGAAACUGGCUGUUGGGUAUGGAGUUCUGUAACUGGCACCCUUUCUUUUGCCACACAAACCAGUUCCAGAUCAGGAAUUUCUGUGCAUUUGCAUCUGCAGCUAAACAGCUCUGAUGUUGGACCAUAGGUUGUUACAAACCUUGAAAGUUCCUGCAAGUAGUUGCUCACAUGUUACAGUAUUCCUGCCAAGUUUUUCUUUGUCCUAAUUUACAGCUAGAAAAAA